rnacentral:rRNA from 1 species
GACGAACGCUGGCGGCGUGCUUAACACAUGCAAGUCGAACGGAAAGGCCCAGCUUGCUGGGUACUCGAGUGGCGAACGGGUGAGUAACACGUGGGUGAUCUGCCCCUGACUUUGGGAUAAGCCUGGGAAACUGGGUCUAAUACCGGAUAUUCACUUUUCCUCGCAUGGGGUUUGGUGGAAAGCUUUUGCGGUUGGGGAUGGGCCCGCGGCCUAUCAGCUUGUUGGUGGGGUAAUGGCCUACCAAGGCGACGACGGGUAGCCGACCUGAGAGGGCGACCGGCCACACUGGGACUGAGACACGGCCCAGACUCCUACGGGAGGCAGCAGUGGGGAAUAUUGCACAAUGGGCGCAAGCCUGAUGCAGCGACGCCGCGUGAGGGAUGACGGCCUUCGGGUUGUAAACCUCUUUCAGCAGGGACGAAGCGCAAGUGACGGUACCUGCAGAAGAAGCACCGGCCAACUACGUGCCAGCAGCCGCGGUAAUACGUAGGGUGCAAGCGUUGUCCGGAAUUACUGGGCGUAAAGAGCUCGUAGGCGGUUUGUCGCGUCGUCUGUGAAAUUCUGCAGCUUAACUGCAGGCGUGCAGGCGAUACGGGCAGACUUGAGUACUACAGGGGAGACUGGAAUUCCUGGUGUAGCGGUGAAAUGCGCAGAUAUCAGGAGGAACACCGGUGGCGAAGGCGGGUCUCUGGGUAGUAACUGACGCUGAGGAGCGAAAG